GCUCUUUCUUUUUUUCUAUAAAUUUUUUAAUUGUGUUGACAGGGUGACAAUAAGGUGUCUGCCAAAGGUGGAGACAGCUCUGUUAAACAGGAUACAGCUAGUUCUCAUGGUGGAACUCAACCCGGUCCAAUAUCCCAAGGGAUGGGUCACCAAGGAACUUUUACUCAAGGCAUGAGCUAUUUGCAACCUCAGUGAAUGGCUCAGGAUCCUAUAAUAUCUUGAAGUCUGACUUGCAGGUCUACAAGCUAUUCGGGAAAGAGUUAGUGACAUUCCUUAAGCAUCCUCUUAUGGUGUUUCGGUGUAAAUUAGUCUGAAAUUAAAACUAUUUGUCAUCAUAGGCUGUGUAUGUACCAUAUUCAUCUUUGUUUUAUUCCCUGGUUUUAAGUUUGACUACUCUACCUGUUUCUCUUCGAUGGGCACAUUCUUAAGUAAACGACCUUUUAGUGUUUGUGAGAUAUGUUCUGUAGCUUUUGCUGA